rnacentral:tRNA from 1 species
GGUGGGCUCAGUGGUAGGCACUUGCCUAACAUGCAAGAGGCCCUGGGUUCCAUUCCCAAUACCACCA